rnacentral:rRNA from 1 species
AUACAGAGGGUGCAAACGUUGUUCGGAAUUACUGGGCGUAAAGGGCAGGUAGGUGGUCUGUUAAGUCUUCUGUGAAAAUCCGGGGCUCAACCCCGCGAAAUGCAGGUGAAACUGGCAGACUGGAGACCGGUAGAGGCUAGCGGAAUUCCUGGUGUAGCGGUGGAAUGCGUAGAUAUCAGGAAGAACACCUGUGGCGAAGGCGGCUAGCUGGGCCGGGUCUGACGCUGAACUGCGAAAGCGUGGGGAGCAAACAGGAUUAGAAACCCCAGUAGUCC